rnacentral:rRNA from 1 species
UACGUAGGAGGCGAGCGUUAUCCGGAUUCACUGGGCGUAAAGCGGGCGCAGGCGGUCUUUUAAGUUGGAUGUAAAAUCUCCCGGCUUAACUGGGAGGGGUCAUUCAAUACUGUGAGGCUAGAGUGCAGCAGAGGGAGGUGGAAUUCCCGGUGUAGUGGUGAAAUACGUAGAUAUCGGGAGGAACACCAGUGGCGAAAGCGGCCUCCUGGGCUGUUACUGACGCUGAGGUCCGAAAGCGUGGGGAG